rnacentral:rRNA from 1 species
CCUACGGGAGGCAGCAGUGAGGAAUAUUGGUCAAUGGGCGGGAGCCUGAACCAGCCAAGUCGCGUGAGGGAAGACGGUCCUAUGGAUUGUAAACCUCUUUAGGCGGGGAGCAAUGCAGGGCACGCGUGCCCGGAGGGAGAGUACCCGCAGAAUAAGCAUCGGCAAACUCCGGGCCAGCAGCCGCGGUAAUAGGGGGGAUGGGAGUGUUAUCCGGCUUUAUUGGGUGUAAAGGGUGCGUAGGCGGAUUUUUAAGUCAGCGGUAAAAUGUCCGGGCUCAACCCGGGCCGGCCGUUGAAACUGGGGAGCUUGAGUGGGCGAGAAGUAAGCGGAAUGCGUGGUGUAGCGGUGAAAUGCAUAGAUAUCACGCAGAACUCCGAUUGCGAAGGCAGCAUACCGGAGCGCGACUGACGCUGAGGCACGAAAGCGUGGGGAUCGAACAGGAUUAGAUACCCCAGUAGUC